CGAGAGAUGGCUGAGUGGUCGAAAGCGGCGGUCUUGAAAACCGUUGAGGCAAAACCUCCGGGGGUUCGAAUCCCUCUCUCUCGG
rfam:Helicobacter sanguini strain MIT 97-6194 contig_214, whole genome shotgun sequence.